rfam:Sus scrofa chromosome 2.
UCUCUGGUGGUCUAGUGGUUAGGACUCAGCACUUUCCUUGCUGUGGUCCAGGUUCAGUUUCUGGUCUGGGAA